rnacentral:rRNA from 1 species
AUGGAGGCAACUCUGACCCAGCCAUGCCGCGUGCAGGAAGACUGCCCUAUGGGUUGUAAACUGCUUUUAUACAGGAAGAAACACUGGUACGUGUACAAGCUUGACGGUACUGUAAGAAUAAGGACCGGCUAACUCCGUGCCAGCAGCCGCGGUAAUACGGAGGGUCCAAGCGUUAUCCGGAAUCAUUGGGUUUAAAGGGUCCGCAGGCGGUCAAUUAAGUCAGAGGUGAAAUCCCAUAGCUUAACUAUGGAACUGCCUUUGAUACUGGUUGACUUGAGUCAUAUGGAAGUAGAUAGAAUGUGUAGUGUAGCGGUGAAAUGCAUAGAUAUUACACAGAAUACCGAUUGCGAAGGCAGUCUACUACGUAUGUACUGACGCUCAUGGACGAAAGCGUGGGGAGCGAACAGGAUUAGAUACCCUGGUAGUCCACGCCGUAAACGAUGGACACUAGUUGUUGGGANUUNUCUCAGUGACUAAGCGAAAGUGAUAAGUGUCCCACCUGGGGAGUACGNUCGCAAGAUUGA